rnacentral:lncRNA from 1 species
CGGAGACGCUGAGGGGUAGAGAGGGGGAGAUGCGAAGAUUGAAAGGGAUCUUUGCAAACACAAUCACGUUCUUAAAUGGAAAUGCGGGGCUUUAAACAAAUCUUACAUCUCUCCAGUUCCAGUCGCCUAAAAGUCCGCAAUCAGGCGCAUGUUCCACUCCUUCUAAAACCGAAGCUUUUUGCUACAGUGGGACGCACUGUACUAUUUAUUCAUUUGAAUCCCUGGACUAGAGCACGAUUUAACGAGUUCCAAACCUUCCAUCUAACUCCAUGACGGGCUUGAAAGCAUCAGGCUUGGGAUGCCUAAGCCCCUUCUCAGCUCCUGUCUGUCUGUCUGUCUGUCUGUCCUGUCUCCUGUCCUGUCUGCUGGGGUGUUGGUGCCUGGGCUUCAACCAUCAGCCCUAACCUGUGUGGCUUCCUGUCCGUCCACAGAGGGACCCAAUCCUCUACUUUGAAUUCAAGGGGCCUGAAGACAACACAGCCUCACGCAGGCUCAGCAACACGCAGGUUACGACCCCAACAGGACAUACCACGCCACCCGGCGGGCUGAGUUGUUACGCACUACACGUGCGUGUGUCCUCCACUGGUGUAAGCAUGUUGCCCCCUGCCGAAUGUCCAUCCGUCCUGCGUCUCCCCCUCAGCCCACCCAUCCUUCCUCUCUACCUAGCCACCCUUUCAUCCUCUGUCUCUUUUCUUCAUACUGGACCGGAAAAUGAACGAGCAAAGUUGGCCUCGCGGAGAGAGCUUGCGUCCACGUUAAUUGAAGUAAAUGAAUAGAUAGAUUCACUUCUGCAGGUUGAAGGUUGUGCAUUUAUGACAAAUUACAUCAAUUAAAGGGAUCGUUUGCUGUGUUGUUUACUCCAUUCAACCUGGAAAACUAUCCCUUUAAAUAUUUACAUACUGUAGAUUUUAAUAAGAGGACACAUAUGGAUUUUCUUGAGUACACAAUUUAAAAUAUGUAUUUCUAUAAUAGGAGGAUUGUGUCUCUGUUGAAAUUGAGAGGAUAUUUGGUUUGGGUACCGCAAAAAUUAAUUUGAAAAACCUCUCAGUUAAGAAAAGGUUAGUAACAGGUGAGGUAAACGUUUUGAAAAAAACAAAAGCUGUAAAAGUUAUGUGAAUCAGUGCGAUAUGGCUGAACUAUUUUCCAUUUGACUAUUGCAUAGUUUUUGGUCGGUAACAUCAAUUGAUACUAUUCACAAUGGAAGACAACAAGUUGAAUGUAAUGACAGUGUACA